rnacentral:rRNA from 1 species
GAACGAACGCUGGCGGCGCGUUUAAGCAUGCAAGUCGAGCGGCAAGGGCCUUCGGGCCCCUAGAGCGGCGGACGGGUGAGUAACACGUGGACAAUCUGCCCCCCGGCCCGGGAUAGCCCAGGGAAACCUGGAUUAAUACCGGAUGAGACGGGACCCGCGAUGGCGGGACCCGGGAAAGGCGCUGCGGCGCCGCCGGGGGAUGAGUCUGCGUCCCAUUAGCUAGACGGCGGGGUAACGGCCCACCGUGGCGACGAUGGGUAGCCGGCCUGAGAGGGUGGACGGCCACAUUGGAACUGAGACACGGUCCAGACUCCUACGGGAGGCAGCAGCUAAGAAUCUUCCGCAAUGGGCGAAAGCCUGACGGAGCCGACGCCGCGUGAACGAAGAAGGCCGUGAGGUUGUAAAGUUCUUUCGGGAGGGGGAACAACCGUGGCAGGGAAUGGCCGCGGGAUGACGUGAAUCCCGGAAUAAGCCCCGGCUAACUACGUGCCAGCCGCCGC